ACUGCCGGAGUCAGAGUCCUACCUCCUUCUGAGCUCUGACGCUUUCCUGUCUGUGCUCCCUGCUAAUCGACUCACCAGCAUGAAGGUCUUGGCGCUGCUGUUACUGGUGGCAGUUUCCACCGUCCUGGUCUCGGGCCAGAAUACAACAGAUGCUUCCUCUGAUAGCUCUACUGCUGUCCUAAAACCACCGCUGCAGAGCCCACCCCCAAAUCCGCUGCGUCCACUGCUGCCACCAUGGCUGCCACCACUACCGUAUCACCCAGCAGUACCGCAGUACCCAGCACCAUGACCAGUUCUGCUCAAACCGCCAGUGGAAAGAGUGUCUUGGACAAGAUUAAGAACAAACUAGGUUUGAAUAAUCACUAAGAUGAGGGUAGCCUGGGUCUUUUGGAAUUGCUCCUGCUGGGCUUGGCCACAAUGUCCCUUCAAUUGAUUCAACUCUGCUACGUAACAUAGCUACCAUCUCUGUCUUAUCCCUAAUCAGUUUAUCUGUUUUCAAAUAAAAAAUAACAUUGAGCAAUGACAAAA